rnacentral:rRNA from 1 species
UACGUAGGGGGCUAGCGUUGUCCGGAAUCAUUGGGCGUAAAGCGCGCGUAGGCGGCCCGGUAAGUCCGUUGUGAAAGUCAAAGGCUCAACCUUUGAAAGCCGAUGGAUACUGCCGGGCUGGAGUCCGGAAGAGGCGUGUGGAAUUCCUGGUGUAGCGGUGGAAUGCGCAGAUAUCAGGAGGAACACCAAUAGCGAAGGCAGCUCGCUGGGACGGUACUGACGCUGAGGCGCGAAAGCGUGGGGAGCGAACAGG